CAUUAGUAAAUGAUUUUCUUGUCAAAAAUUGCGAAUGAAUCCGUUCGUUUCCACUGCGUAUUAAAUGAUGAAAUCCUUCAAAUGCUUGCCAAAAAUGCACUAUCGACAUUUGUCAUAUUCAGACUAGUCAAAUGACGUUGUUUUAAACUGCGUUUGGUAUAAUUUCAAUCAUAAAUUCACAAAUUGCCUUUUGUUUCAUCCUUCAGUAAACCGCC